rnacentral:rRNA from 1 species
UACGAGAGGCCCAAACGUUAUUCGGAUUUACUGGGCUUAAAGAGUUCGUAGGCGGCGCGGAAAGUAGGGUGUGAAGGCCCUCGGCUCAACCGAGGAAUUGCGCUCUAAACUACCGUGCUCGAGGAAGCUAGAGGUGAGCGGAACUGAUGGUGGAGCGGUGAAAUGCGUUGAUAUCAUCAGGAACACCGGAGGCGAAGGCGGCUCACUGGGGCUUUUCUGACGCUGAGGAACGAAAGCCAGGGGAGCGAACGGG